rnacentral:rRNA from 1 species
AGCGAACGCUGGCGGCAGGCCUAACACAUGCAAGUCGAGCGGCCGUAGCAAUACGGCAGCGGCAGACGGGAGAGUAACACGUGGGAACGCGCCCUUUGGUUCGGAAUAACUCAGGGAAACUUGAGCUAAUACCGGAUAAGCCCUUACGGGGAAAGAUUUAUCGCCAAAGGAACGGCCCGCGUCCGAUUAGCUAGUUGGUGAGGUAACGGCUCACCAAGGCGACGAUCGGUAGCUGGUCUGAGAGGAUGACCAGCCUCACUGGGACUGAGACACGGCCCAGACUCCUACGGGAGGCAGCAGUGGGGAAUAUUGGACAAUGGGCGCAAGCCUGAUCCAGCCAUGCCGCGUGAGUGAUGAAGGCCUUAGGGUUGUAAAGCUCUUUUAGCAGGGAAGAUAAUGACGGUACCUGCAGAAAAAGCCCCGGCUAACUUCGUGCCAGCCGCCGCGGUAAGAC